AUGAGAUUUACAUUUGUGAUGUCGGGAUGGCCUGGUUCAGCACAUGACAUGAGAGUUUUCAAAGACGCCGUAACUACUCAUCAAGACAAAUUUCCACAUCCACCACCAGGGAAGUAUUAUGUGGUUGAUGCGGGAUACCCAAACCGGCCAGGCUACCUUUCACCAUACAGAUGUACAAGGUACCAUGUGCAACAAUGGCAAAAUGGCCCGCCGCCACAAGGUAUGAAAGAAACCUUCAACCAUGCACAUGCCAAAGUUAGGAAUGUCGUUGAGCGAUCCUUUGGAGUGUUGAAGAUGAAAUUUAGGAUUUUAUUGAACAUGCCAAAAUUUCCAGAGGACAAGCAAAGUAGAAUUAUUGUUGCCUGUAUGGCUCUUCAUAAUUUCAUUCGAGAGAGCAGAAUUGCGGAUAGGGAAUUUGAUGCUUGUGAUGCAGAUGAAAAUUAUAACCCAAUGCCUAGUUCUUCUGCAUCCGCAUGGCCAGAAGAUGAACCUCUUGUUGAAGAUAUCAACAUGAAUGCCUUCCGUGAUGAGUUAGCUCAUGCUUUGUUUUAUGGAGUGUAA
rnacentral:rRNA from 1 species